rnacentral:rRNA from 1 species
AUUGAACGCUGGCGGCAGGCCUAACACAUGCAAGUCGAGCGGAUGAAGGGAGCUUGCUCCUGUAUUCAGCGGCGGACGGGUGAGUAAUGCCUAGGAAUCUGCCUGGUAGUGGGGGAUAACGUCCGGAAACGGGCGCUAAUACCGCAUCCGUCCUGAGGGAGAAAGUGGGGGAUCUUCGGACCUCACGCUAUCAGCUGAGCCUAGGUCGGAUUAGCUAGUUGGUGGGGUAAAGGCCUACCAAGGCGACGAUCCGUAACUGGUCUGAGAGGAUGAUCAGUCACACUGGAACUGAGACACGGUCCAGACUCCUACGGGAGGCAGCAGUGGGGAAUAUUGGACAAUGGGCGAAAGCCUGAACCAGCCAUGCCGCGUGUGUGAAGAAGGUCUUCGGAUUGUAAAGCACUUUAAGUUGGGAGGAAGGGAAGUAAGUUAAUACCUUGAUGUUUUGACGUUACCAACAGAAUAAGCACCGGCUAACUUCGUG